GACGAAUCAUAGCUAGUAUUGAGCUAGUAUUCCAGGAUACAGUGCAGAUUUUUCAGGUUGUCAACUGGAUGGGCAAUCUGAAUUACUAGAUAAGCUCAUCGAGGCCAACGACUAGGGUACUCUCUUUAGAAGGAUUAGUUCAAUACUGAAACAGAGAGUGGAGUUUUCAAGGGGUGGAAUAAAGACAAGUUCUCCUUUGCUCCAACAUACAAGCACGUAUGAAAUUCUGAUAGAUAUGAUGGCGAGGAUGACGCACCAAAGUCUCAAAGAAGAAGCGAAGAGCACUAGAAGUGUAUGACCAGAUUCUUUGGCAUGGUGAUGCUGAAGGAAAUAGUGUAGCUGUCCAGUUUUCAGCAACAAAGUAAUCAAGACCGUAUCAGCUCCCAACAUGAAAGUUGGCGCAAAAAACUUCUUCUAUCCACAAGAUAGUGGAGAUUAAGGAGAGGCAAUUGAAAGGUGCUUGCUACUUUGCUGGGUUCUAUGAACCAUAAUAUGGUCUGACUGAAAAUGCUCCACAUAUUGAUGUCAUCAUUAUUUCAAGAAUCAAGAUUGUCCCCUUCUACAUCGGGAUGAAAACCAAAGGUUUCUAAAGGCCAUAGGUCUAUGACUGAUGCCACACCUUCAUUCUACGGACAAUGAUUGAUUGGAUUAGUUAGUAGCAAUGUGGAGGAGGCUAUUAGCAAGUGCUAACUACUAGCAACUUCAGUGAUUCAAAAUAUAGUCAGGUUCAUGUUUGUACUCUGUUUCAUACAUGACUGCCACGUUGCAAGUCAAUAGAAGAAUGAAAGUGCUUUCAUUUGGACCAUCUUUAUUUUUCAUGUUGCGAACUUUGUGCUGAAUGAAGAAACGUAAAAGGUGUACACAA